UACGUAGGGUGCGAGCGUUAAUCGGAAUUACUGGGCGUAAAGCGUGCGCAGGCGGUUUUUGUAAGACAGAUGUGAAAUCCCCGGGCUCAACCUGGGAACUGCAUCACAUACUGCCAAGCUAGAGUACGGUAGAGGGGGGUAGAAUUCCACGUGUAGCGGUGAAAUGCGUAGAGAUGUGGAGGAAUACCAGUGGCGAAGGCGGCCCCCUGGAUCGAUACUGACGCUGAGGUGCGAAAGCGUGGGGAGCAAACAGGAUUAGAAACCCUUGUAGU
rnacentral:rRNA from 1 species